rnacentral:rRNA from 1 species
UACGUAGGGGGCUAGCGUUGUCCGGAAUCAUUGGGCGUAAAGCGCGUGUAGGCGGUUCGGUAAGUCCGCUGUGAAAGUCGGGGGCUCAACCCUCGAAUGCCGGUGGAUACUGUCGGGCUAGAGUGCGGAAGAGGCGAGUGGAAUUCCCGGUGUAGCGGUGAAAUGCGCAGAUAUCGGGAGGAACACCGAUGGCGAAGGCAGCACUCUGGGCCGGUACUGACGCUGAGGAGCGAAAGCGUGGGGAGCGAACAGG